rnacentral:rRNA from 1 species
AUUGAACGCUGGCGGCAUGCCUAACACAUGCAAGUCGAACGAGUGGCGGACGGGUGAGUCAUGUCUGGGACACUGCCUGAUGGAGGGGGAUAACUACUGGAAACGGUAGCUACUACCGCAUACCAUCAGAUGUUCCCAGAUGGGAGUAGCUAGUUGGUGGGGUAACGGCUUACCAAGGCGACGAUCCCUAGCUGGUCUGAGAGGAUGACCAGCCAAACUGGAACUGAGACACGGUCCAGACUCCUACGGGAGGCAGCAGUGGGGAAUAUUGCACAAUGGGCGAAAGCCUGAUGCAGCCAUGCCGCGUGUAUGAAGAAGGCCUUCGGGUUGUAAAGUACUUUCAGCGGGGAGGCGUUACCUGCAGAAGAAGCACCGGCUAACUCCGUGCCAGCAGCCGCGGUAAUAC